CCUACGGGUGGCUGCAGUAAGGAAUAUUGGUCAAUGGACGCAAGUCUGAACCAGCCAUGCCGCGUGGAGGAUUAAGGCCCUUGGGUUGUAAACUCCUUUUAUCUGGGAAGCGGUACCAGAGGAAUAAGCACCGGCUAACUCCGUGCCAGCAGCCGCGGUAAUACGGAGGGUGCAAGCGUUAUCCGGAUUCACUGGGUUUAAAGGGUGCGUAGGCGGGCAGGUAAGUCCGUGGUGAAAUCUCUGAGCUUAACUCAGAAACUGCCAUGGAUACUAUUUGUCUUGAAUAUUGUGGAGGUAAGCGGAAUAUGUCAUGUAGCGGUGAAAUGCUUAGAUAUGACAUAGAACACCAAUUGCGAAGGCAGCUUACUACACGUAUUGACGCUGAGGCACGAAAGCGUGGGGAUCAAACAGGAUUAGAUACCCCUGUAGUC
rnacentral:rRNA from 1 species